UACGGGGGCAAGCGUUGUUCGGAAUUACUGGGCGUAAAGGGCUCGUAGGCGGCCAACUAAGUCCGACGUGAAAUCCCUAGGCUUAACCUGGGAACUGCGUCGGAUACUGGAUGGCUUGAAUUCGGGAGAGGGAUGCAGAAUUCCAGGUGUAGCGGUGAAAUGCGUAGAUAUCGGAAGGAAGCCGGUGGCGAAAGCGGCGUGCUGGACCCCCUCCUGACGCUGAGGGCGCGAAAAAGCCCAGGGGGGGAGUGAAACGGGGGAUUUAGAAAA
rnacentral:rRNA from 1 species